rnacentral:rRNA from 1 species
UCGCCCGGCCCGGCCCCGCGCCCGGCCCGCCGCCCCCGCCCCCCUACGGGAGGCAGCAGUGGGGAAUAUUGCACAAUGGGCGCAAGCCUGAUGCAGCGACGCCGCGUGAGGGAUGACGGCCUUCGGGUUGUAAACCUCUUUCAGUAGGGAAGAAGCGAAAGUGACGGUACCUGCAGAAGAAGCGCCGGCUAACUACGUGCCAGCAGCCGCGGUAAUACGUAGGGCGCAAGCGUUAUCCGGAAUUAUUGGGCGUAAAGAGCUCGUAGGCGGUUUGUCGCGUCUGCCGUGAAAGUCCGGGGCUCAACUCCGGAUCUGCGGUGGGUACGGGCAGACUAGAGUGAUGUAGGGGAGACUGGAAUUCCUGGUGUAGCGGUGAAAUGCGCAGAUAUCAGGAGGAACACCGAUGGCGAAGGCAGGUCUCUGGGCAUUAACUGACGCUGAGGAGCGAAAGCAUGGGGAGCGAACAGGAUUAGAUACCCUGGUAGUCCAUGCCGUAAACGUUGGGCACUAGGUGUGGGGGACAUUCCACGUUUUCCGCGCCGUACGCGUAACGCGGUUAAGUGCCCCGCCUCCACGUUCCCGACCUUG